UGUAGGAAAUGUGAGCACGAUAUGCCGGCAAAAUAGCUUGGUUUCUCGAUGAAUUGACGUGGGGUACCCCUUAUAGGUAACGCUUUGGUCCUUACUAUGGGAGCAGCGCGCGUACGCCCAUAAUUGAAGGUGAAAGCGAUCGAGCCUUGGUGGCUUUACUGGCGGUAAUGUGAGCACGAUAUGCCGGCCAAAAAGCUUGGUUUCUCGAUGAAUUAACGUGGGGUACCCCUAGGAACCGCUUCGGUCCUUACUAUGGGAGCAGCGUGUGCGCGCAUAAUUGAAGGUGAAAGCGAUCGAGCCUUGGUGGCUUUACUGGCGGUAAUGUGAGCACGAUAUGCCGGCCAAAAAGCUUGGUUUCUCGAUGAAUUAACGUGGGGUACCCAUAGGAACCGCUUCGGUCCUUACUAUGGGAGCAGCGUGUGCGCGCAUAAUUGAAGGUGAAAGCGAUCGAGCCUUGGUGGCUUUACUGGCGGUAAUGUGAGCACGAUAUGCCGGCCAAAAAGCUUGGUUUCUCGAUGAAUUAACGUGGGGUACCCAUAGGAACCGCUUCGGUCCUUACUAUGGGAGCAGCGUGUGCGCGCAUAAUUGAAGGUGAAAGCGAUCGAGCCUUGGUGGCUUUAGUGGCGGUAAUGUGAGCAAGAUAUGACGGCCAAAUAGCUUGGUUUCUCGGUGAAUUAACGUGGGGUACCCGUAUAGAGGUCCGCGCGUGCGCGCAUAAUUAAAGGUGAACGUGCAUGAAUGCGUAUGAAUGGAUUAACGAGAUUCCUGAUGUCCCUAUCUACUAUCUAGCGAAACCACAGGCAAGGAUAGGACUUGGCAGAAUUAGAUUGAUUUUGAUCUUCAGUAUGAAUACAGACCGCGAAAGCGUGGACAAUCGAUCCUUUUUUGAACUCGCGAGUUUUAAGGAAGUGGUGCCAGAAAAUUUACCACAGGGAUAACUGGCUUGUGGCACCAAAGCGUUCAUAGCGACGUUGCCUUUUGAUCCUUGGACGGAGUAGGAUAGGAUAGGAUAUGCAUGUUUAUCCCCGUGAAUGGGAAAACCCGAGGGGUUAUCACACGGGCAAUCGUCAGAUCACCUCGCGCCCAUCGUCGGGUUACCGGAGCUAUUGCAGUGUGUUGUAUGUGAUAGACACGUUCCUUCAAUUUGGUAGAACCCAUUAAUCCGCUGGGUUCAGGCAAUGUCCGUAAAGUGCCUUGCCCAAGGACACAACCGACUAGCUAGCGACCAGUUUCGCACCUGCAACCUUUCGAUUGAAAGGCCACGCAAUUAACCGCUAGACCAUCGGGCCGGACACAAACGAUUCAGACAUUUGGUUAAUGUGAUGGGCUGUUAAGCCAAUGGUGCGAAGCUUCGUACUAUCCGAGGGAUUUUGACUGAACGCCUCUAAGUCAGAAUUCCGCCUGUAAUCCUGCGAGACCGAGAGU
rnacentral:ncRNA from 1 species